rnacentral:tRNA from 1 species
GGUGAGGUGUCCGAGCGGUCGAAGGAGCACGCCUGGAAAGUGUGUAAGCCGAAAGGCUUCGAGGGUUCGAAUCCCUCCCUCACCGCCA